rnacentral:rRNA from 1 species
AAGUCGAGGGGCAUCAGGAAGAAAGCUUGCUUUCUUUGCUGGCGACCGGCGCACGGGUGAGUAACACGUAUCCAACCUGCCCUUUACUCGGGGAUAGCCUUUCGAAAGAAAGAUUAAUACCCGAUAGCAUAAUGAUUCCGCAUGGUUUCAUUAUUAAAGGAUUCCGGUAAAGGAUGGGGAUGCGUUCCAUUAGGUUGUUGGUGAGGUAACGGCCCACCAAGCCUUCGAUGGAUAGGGGUUCUGAGAGGAAGGUCCCCCACAUUGGAACUGAGACACGGUCCAAACUCCUACGGGAGGCAGCAGUGAGGAAUAUUGGUCAAUGGGCGUUAGCCUGAACCAGCCAAGUAGCGUGAAGGAUGAAGGCUCUAUGGGUCGUAAACUUCUUUUAUAUAAGAAUAAAGUGCAGUAUGUAUACUGUUUUGUAUGUAUUAUAUGAAUAAGGAUCGGCUAACUCCGUGCCAGCAGCCGCGGUAAUACGGAGGAUCCGAGCGUUAUCCGGAUUUAUUGGGUUUAAAGGGAGCGUAGGUGGACUGGUAAGUCAGUUGUGAAAGUUUGCGGCUCAACCGUAAAAUUGCAGUUGAUACUGUCAGUCUUGAGUACAGUAGAGGUGGGCGGAAUUCGUGGUGUAGCGGUGAAAUGCUUAGAUAUCACGAAGAACUCCGAUUGCGAAGGCAGCUCACUGGACUGCAACUGACACUGAUGCUCGAAAGUGUGGGUAUCAAACAGGAUUAGAUACCCUGGUAGUCCACACAGUAAACGAUGAAUACUCGCUGUUUGCGAUAUACAGUAAGCGGCCAAGCGAAAGCAUUAAGUAUUCCACCUGGGGAGUACGCC